UCUCUGUAGGUGAACCUGCGGAGGGAUCAUUAUAGAGUUCGUGCCCUCACGGGUAGAUCUCCCACCCUGUGUUAUUAUACCUUUGUUGCUUUGGUGGGCCGCCCUCGGCUACCGGCCCCGGCUGGUACGCGCCCGCUAGAGGACCCCAAACUCUGAAUGUUAGUGUCGUCUGAGUACUAUAAAAUAGUUAAAACUUUUAACAACGGAUCUCUUGGUUCUG
rnacentral:misc_RNA from 1 species